rnacentral:rRNA from 1 species
UUUCAAUAAGCGGAGGAAAAGAAACCAACAGGGAUUGCCUCAGUAGCGGCGAGUGAAGCGGCAAGAGCUCAGAUUUGAAAUCUCACCUAGUGUGCGAGUUGUAAAUUGCAGGUUGGAGUCUCGGGUUAGACGUGUGUGCAAGUCCCUUGGAACAGGGUGCCACUGAGGGUGAGAGCCCCGUAGCGUGCAUGUCGACACCUGUGAGGCCCUUCUGACGAGUCGAGUUGUUUGGGAAUGCAGCUCUAAGUGGGUGGUAAAUUCCAUCUAAGGCUAAAUAUUGGCGAGAGACCGAUAGCGAACAAGUACUGUGAAGGAAAGAUGAAAAGCACUUUGAAAAGAGAGUGAAACAGCACGUGAAAUUGUUGAAAGGGAAGGGUAUUGGGCUCGACAUGGGAUUUACGCAUCGUUGCCUCUCGUGGGCGGCGCUCUGGGUUUUUCCUGGGCCAGCAUCGGUUUUCGUUGCAGGAUAAGGACAAUUGGAAUGUGGCUCCUCGGAGUGUUAUAGCCUUUUGUAGAUGCUGCGUAUGGGGACCGAGGGCUGCGGCGGACUCGUCGUCUCG